GAACUCUUGAGUGUACGCAUGGAAACGUUUGAACGAUACAGAGAAGAAUAUCAUGACCCUGUACAAGAAUGACGCACGGAAUCGUGCAAUGCUCAUCUUCUUC